UCUGGCGAUCAUAGAGCAUUGGAACCACCUGAUCCCAUUCCGAACUCAGAAGUGAAACGGUGUCUCGCCGAUGAUAGUGUGGGAGAUCCUAUGCGAAAGUAGGUUAUUGCCAGAG
rfam:Achromatium sp. WMS2 contig-183_430, whole genome shotgun sequence.